rnacentral:rRNA from 1 species
AUGAACGCUGGCGGCGUGCCUAAUCCAUGCAAGUCGAGCGAACGGACGAGAAGCUUGCUUCUCUGAUGUUAGCGGCGGACGGGUGAGUAACACGUGGAUAACCUACCUAUAAGACUGGGAUAACUUCGGGAAACCGUAGCUAAUACCGGAUAAUAUUUUGAACCGCAUGGUUCAAAAGUGAAAGACGGUCUUGCUGUCACUUAUAGAUGGAUCCGCGCUGCAUUAGCUAGUUGGUAAGGUAACGGCUUACCAAGGCAACGAUGCAUAGCCGACCUGAGAGGGUGAUCGGCCACACUGGAACUGAGACACGGUCCAGACUCCUACGGGAGGCAGCAGUGGGGAAUCUUCCGCAAUGGGCGAAAGCCUGACGGAGCAACGCCGCGUGAGUGAUGAAGGUCUUCGGAUCGUAAAACUCUGUUAUUAGGGAAGAACAUAUGUGUAAGUAACUGUGCACAUCUUGACGGUACCUAAUCAGAAAGCCACGGCUAACUACGUG